UUCUCAAGUGUCGUAGAAUGAAUGCAGAGGAGAGGCCGAUCAUGUUGGAUGUAGCAAAACAACUCAGGCGAAUUCAAAGGGGAAAUUUCAUUUCUGAUGAAGCAAUUCGCAAUGAUAUGUUUUCUUCGUACAAUAUUGGAUCGACACGUCUCUUGUGCCACCGAAAGGCUCUCGAGUAAUAUGGUAUUUUAAAUCAAUGUGUGAAAGACCGUACAUUUUAUUUAAAUUUCUUAUUUUUUUAA